AUUUCAUUGGAGAUAGUUCUGCCACAGUCCCCCAUGUGACACAUGGGAAUCUGAAGCCAAGAGAGAGCAGGACUUUGCCAGAGAACAUACAGCAGUCCUAAGAUGUCUGGCUGAGUGGACAUGGAGAGCAGCUUCCAGUAACAGAGCUGAGGGCAUGAACGUCAGAUGGGCAAUCAGGAGAGAGAAGAGCUGCCUGGAGGAGGAGUCCCUGAGGCCUGGCAGCAGUAUGUGCUGACUGGGCCAGGGCCACCAGUCAGUGCCGACUGAGGCCAUAGCCACAGCACCCCCCACCCAAGGAAAAUGUCAUGUGCUCCAGGCACAUCACAGCCUUCUUGCAGUGAGGAAUCCCAGAAAGCACUUCAGCACUUUGGGGCCAUUUAAAAUAGCGAAAUCAACAAAAAGCACAGAAAUGUGAAGAGCAUGGCACUAGACGCACUACGGAAAGGACAAGUUAACAGUGUGAGCUGACUCAGGAAGGCGGAGUGUCGGUUGGCUUGCUGGACUUCAGCUGCGCGUGUGCACGUGGGGCCACUCUGCGCAUGUCCGCCAGCGACGCUGAGGGUGCGGUGAGCGCUGAUUGGGGGUUAAAGUACAUUUCACUGAGCAGGCGCAUUGGCGAAUCCGGGAUCUGUGAACCAUAAGGAUGGAGGCCAACGUCCCUGGGUCGUCGCAAGCGUUAACAAGGCUAACAAGAAAGACUUGCAAAAUGUUUUGCAGAAAUCAAAAUGCAUUAUGUGUGAAGCAUUCCAUCAGAAGGGAAAUCAGG